GGGAGAGAAAAGAGGGGAGAUAAGUGGAGGGGUUGGGGGAGGUCCAGUGGGGAGAGCUAACCAGAUAAGUGAGGGUACAGGAGGGAGAAAAUAAGGGAGAAUAAGUAGGAGGAUGGAGAGGGGGAGGUAAAACUGGGAGAUAAGUGAGGGGUGAUAAAAAUAGGGAGAGAAGUGUGUGUGGGAUUACUGGAGGAAGAUUGAAAUAAGGGGAGACUAGAUCGGGAGGUAAGUGAAGGGAGAUUAAAAUGAGGUAAGUGAAGGGAGAUUAAAAUGAGGUAAGUGAAGGGAGAUUAAAAUGAGGUAAGUGAAGGGAGAUUAAAAUGAGGUAAGUGAAGGGAGAUUAAAAUGAGGUAAGUGAAGGGAGAUUAAAAUGAGGUAAGUGAAGGGAGAUUAAAAUGAGUUAAGUGAAGGGAGAUUAAAAUGAGGUAAGUGAAGGGAGAUUAAAAUGAGGUAAGUGAAGGGAGAUUAAAAUGAGGUAAGUGAAGGGAGAUUAAAAUGAGGUAAGUGAAGGGAGAUUAAAAUGAGUUAAGUGAAGGGAGAUUAAAAUGAGUUAAGUGAAGGGAGAUUAAAAUUAUCAAUAUUAUAGUUUUCCUUCUGUCUGAUCAACCCCCCCUCCCCCAACUAUCACCAUCAUCAUCAUCAACAAUCAACUCUAUCAAGCUGACAGCUGUAGAUAGGUAGACAGGUUAGGGCCCCCUCACUCCCCUCCUCCUUCCCUUCAUUCUGUCAUCAUCAUCAUGUGACCAGUGACUCAUGGGCAGCCUUCAUUCCUCUGUAUUUCUUCCUGCCUGCGACUUCACGGCCGUACCCAGAAGGGGGGGGGGGGGUGAGAGAGGGGUUCGGAUGACUCCCCCCCCCAUCUCCUAAAAGGUCCAUUUUCCGAGAUGUCAA